AAGCAUGUGAAAUCAUGUAAGGCAUAUGGAAAUAAAUGGCAAGGCAACAUGUGAAAUUGCUAUAGCACGGAAUCGAAGCCUGGCUCAUUUCAAAUUAUAAGCGCGCGCUACAGUAGUGACAAACAUCAAUCAGCAUGGCAAAACACGCUAUUAUGGAUCAAAAGGUGGUUUCUGGAAAUUUUUCAAACCUUCAUCAAUGUUCUUCAUAC
rnacentral:lncRNA from 1 species